AUUGAACGCUGGCGGCAGGCUUAACACAUGCAAGUCGAACGAGUGGCGGACGGGUGGGUAAUGCUUGGGCAUCUAGCUUACGGAGCGGGAUAACUACGGGAAACUGUAGCUAAUACCGCGUAACAUAGGCUGAGCCCAAGUGGGAUUAGGUAGUUGGUGAGGUAAAGGCUCACCAAGCAGACGAUUCCUAGCUGGUCUGAGAGGCUGACCAGCCACACUUGUACUGAGACACGGCCCAGACUCCUACGGGAGGCAGCAGUGGGGAAUCUUGCGCAAUGGGUGCAAGCCUGAUGCAGCAAUGCCGCGUGUAUGAAGAAGGCCUUAGGGUUGUAAAGUACUUUCGGCGGGGAAGCGUUACCCGCAGAAGAAGCACCGGCUAACUCCGUGCCAGCAGCCGCGGUAAUAC
rnacentral:rRNA from 1 species